UAAGAUUGAUUGUACCUGCCCUCAUUUUCUCUGAAUAUGAGGAGACAAAGUUCACCCUGCAAAAGUUGUUUGUCCUUUUUUAGGAAGGCCUACCUUUGAACUCUGUGGAACACUUAACGUCUGUUUAAUUACUGAUCAAAUACAGCUAUAAAGAAAGCACUGAUGUCAUUCGCUGCGAUAGCCGCCACAGGAGGUGCGUGCGGACCUGUGCAUGCUUAAUCUUGCAGGUCAAUUUCUGGGAUUGUCCAGAAAGUUUCCUUUAUACAUCCAUUCAUAUUGCUAUUGAUCUGGCUGUUAACAGAUUUUCAUUGUCACGUUUCAGGAGAUGAACGACAGCUUGGUGCAGCCAUGCAGCGCAGACGUGGAUGCAUUCCUGAACGAUAUCGAUCGCUUUGUGGCCACGAGCCAUGACAUCCUGUGCCGCUUCGACAACAAGUACAUGAGUGUUUCUGAAAUGGAGGAUAAGGAAUGGCUGGAAGCUCAAGAAGAAGUAAUGCCGCUGCUCCUUGACCUGCACAUGCAGACGGAGACUGAAAUACCAGUCUACUUUUAUAAAAGAGCAGCUCAUCAAUGCCUCUAAUCCCUCUCUGCAGUCUCUCCUCGGUCCUGCCCUUCGCCAGACGUGCCACCACCUGUCCCACAGCGCUUGAGCCGCACUGGCGGCACAGAUGUUCCAAUUCAACAGUAUCAAACCUUCCAAGAGAUGAUCGUUUACCUUGCUAAUGAAUGAGUGGAAAUAAUCCACCGUGUUUACUAAAAAACACCGGCUGCGUGGAUAAUGCACGCCUAGCCUUUCAUUACAUGCAAGCUGAAGAGAAGAUUUGGCAUUUGAGUGGGCCUCAUUGUUAUUGUGUUGAGGCAGCCAAUGGCGGUGAUCCACUAAAUAAGGAAACGCUCAUUUUUUAUCUUCUGGAUGAGAGGUCUGGCAGAUAACUUGAGACUCUCAAACCUAGAGUUAGCGGAGUUCAAGUCAGAACCAACUCGUUCCCACCCAGACAAACAGAACGAACAAUUAUGAAAUGUUCUCGUGCAAAGCGAUUGGUCUUCGCUGAAUAAAGGCUGUCCAGCAGGGCGUUCAGGAUUUCCCCAACAGCUCGUCUAAGGAAGACUAAAAAAAUGUCCUAUUAUUGUCCUGUUCCCCAUCUCUUCCAUGAACCCCAUCUGCAAGCCUUUGAGCUUUUCUGCCUUGAGGUGAAACCCACAUGCUCUUUCUGCUAAAAAUGCUUGUUUCAAAUGAAAGUGUAUUUAUUAGAUAGACUUUAUGUUCUAUUCAUUUCCUUAAUGAGACAAAUUAAACUUCCCCCACAUCACAGUGAAAGGCUGCAUUCGUAAUUCUAAAUCACCAAAGAGUCCAAAAAACAACAACAAAACAAAUACUGAAAAGUCACAAACUGUAUUGUAAACUGAAGUGGAAUACAAAGUAAACUAAAGAUUCUGCAUCACAAACAUAUGCAAUUUAACUCUACAAAUACGAGAAUACAUUCUGAAAAAACAUUCACACAAGUAAAAGAAGCUACAGGCAAAAAUGGAAACAGAAUUAAGCUUUCCCUCGGAGCUGAAGAUGAGAAUUCAAAAGGAGGCCGACAGACUUUUAGCCUAUGAUGAACAAAAAAGCGGUUUGGUGUGUAGACAGGACAGUCAACCGAUGAACUGAAAUGAUCCAGCAUCCUUGAUGUAUUAUAUUUUUUGUAACAAUGUUGUAUAGGUGAUGUGAGGAGGAUUGGAAAGAGAGAUGAACAACAAUCAGAUCGAGCAGAUGAUAGAAUAUGGAAUGAAUAGGCUUCUUUUUUUCUCCCAGUUAAUUCUUGUAUAUCACUGCAAAUGCCUCUAUUUUGAGAAACCCAACACACCAACUGACACUCCGGCCCUUCUGCUGCAUAAAGUAACAGCAACAUAUGUUCAAAAAAAAACUAUUACAUUAAAGCCAAAGAGUAGAAUUUAGUAUUAUAUAGUUAAUAAUGACAUACAAUGUUCUGGCAUUACAAAAUUUGUGCAGACAAAAGUGACAUUAAAGAUUAAUACGCACACACACACACACACAAAAUAA